GACGAACGCUGGCGGCGUGCUUAACACAUGCAAGUCGUACGGUAAGGCCCUUUCGGGGGUACACGAGUGGCGAACGGGUGCGUAACACGUGAGUAACCUUCCCACAACUUUGGGAUAACGCUAGGAAACUGGUGCUAAUACUGGAUAUGUGCUCCUGCUGCAUGGGGGGGGUUGGAAAGCUCCGGCGGUUGUGGAUGGAUUCGCGGGCUAUCGGCUUGUUGGAGGGGUAGUGGCCUACCAAGGCGGCUACGGGUAGCCGGCCUGAGGGGGUGACCGGCCACAUUGGGACUGAGAGACGGCCCAGACUCCGACGGGAGGCAGCAGUGGGGAAUAUUGCACAAGGGGCGCAAGCCGGAUGCAGCAACGCCGCGUGCGGGAUGACGGCCUUCGGGUUGUAAACCGCUUUCAGCAGGGACGAAGCUUUUUGUGACGGUACCUGCAGAAGAAGCACCGGCUAACUACGUG
rnacentral:rRNA from 1 species